rnacentral:rRNA from 1 species
AUGGUGGGACUCAUUGGGAAGGAGCCGGGGGUGCAAGGGAAGUCCGCCGGUGCAAGUUAUCAUUGGAUUGCUGAGAACUUUAGUAAGUACCCGGAUGAUGUUGAUGAUGAAACGGUGCAACAGUAUUGCAGGGCAUACUUGUGGUAUGUAGUCAGCCGGACUCUUUUCUCGGAUGGCACGGGCGUGAAUGCUUCCUUUAUGUGGUUAAAGUUGUUUGCUGGGUGGGAACAUGGACUGAGUUGGGGUACGGCGGCACUAGCUUAUUUGUAUCGGCAGGUAACUAGUUUUGCAUAG